AUGGCCAAUGCGCACAUCGCCGAAGGGGCCACCGGCACCCGCUUGCGUUACUCGUGCGCGAAGAAUUACAAGCGCCAAGCGGGCACCUCCAGCCUCGUUGUGUGCAAGUACAACGAAAUGUCGAAGAAGCCCGAAUGGACACGGCCGAAUAUAAACUGCAUCAGAGACCCCUCGCUGCCUCCAGAACCCGAAACAGCCACAGAAGACUCCGGGAGAGAAACAGAAGCUUCCACACCCAACAGUCCAGAGGCUGCAGGGGUGGACCCGUCAGUGACAUCCGCACAUCCGUACGGAAGCAGGACUGACCCUUCCCCGUCACCUCCGGGCACCGCUGGCGUGACCUCGAGGCCGACCGCGGCGACAGCAGGCUUUGCAGAAGAUGGCGAGGGGACUCCUCCUGGCGAGGCCACGGAAAGGGUAACCCCGUCCCACGGAAGCGCCACCCCAGUCUCACGAGCCAGGACUAGCAAGACCCUCACGGCAGGAAGUAGCCCGACCGUCGUCCCCUCCGAGGGAACCGAGGGAAAUACGACUCGGGCAUCCGACCCAGCCGGUCCGGAGAGCCGAAAAGGUUGGUCACCCUGCCACUCCCUGGAGGGGGCACAGCUGGCAAUUAAUCUGCCCGUAGCUACCGCCUUCUUUCAACGCGUCUGCCUAACCGUGUCUUCAGCUAGAUUUGGGGAAUGAUGCUUUGUGACAAAAUCUGGAUGAUUCCUCUGGACAGUUCUUGACCAUGUGGAAUCGGCCGGCGAUGUUCAGAGCAAGACAAAAGCUGGCGUGAUUUAUUUAUUAUUUAUUUUAUUAGAUUUAUGCCCCGCCCAUCUAGACAGAGUGUCUACUCUGGGCGGCAAUGUAGUGGAAAGAAUGCCGGACUAGGAUUCAGGAAGAGCUGGGUUCAAAUCUCGACUCAGUCACGGAAAUUCACAACGGCGGUUUGGCCAUAUGAAACCACUCCUUGGACUUCCAACAGUCCUUAAAGAUCCUCUUAGGAUCACCGGAAGUCAGAUGGGACCUGACUCGGACCCACAAAUCUGAGUGAUUUGCUACGUGAUGUUUCUCGAUCCCUCUGGGUUGAGCACUGAGCCAAGGACCUGACUCUUGUUUCCCUCCUUCAGUGAUACUGUUCAAAUGAAAGAAGUUUAGCGUAAGUAGCGGCCAAUGUGAAAUACAGUGGUGCCUCACUUUACGAUUGCCUUGCAUUAUGACGAAACCGCUUAACGACGAUCUUUUUGCAAUCACAAUUGUGAUCGCAAAACAAUGGUCUGAAUGGGGGAAUUUCGCUUUGCGAUGAUCGGUUCCCUGCUUCGGGAACCGAUUCUUCGCAAAACGACGUUUUUCAAACAGCUGAUCGGCGGUUUCAAAAUGGCCGCCGGGGGAAUAAAAUGGUUCCCCGCUGUGUUUAGGGACGGAUU
rnacentral:lncRNA from 1 species